AUUGAACGCUGGCGGCAGGCCUAACACAUGCAAGUCGAACGGUAACAGGGAUCAGCUUGCUGAUUCGCUGACGAGUGGCGGACGGGUGAGUAAUGUCUGGGAAACUGCCUGAUGGAGGGGGAUAACUACUGGAAACGGUAGCUAAUACCGCAUAACGUCGCAAGACCAAAGAGGGGGACCUUCGGGCCUCUUGCCAUCGGAUGUGCCCAGAUGGGAUUAGCUAGUAGGUGGGGUAACGGCUCACCUAGGCGACGAUCCCUAGCUGGUCUGAGAGGAUGACCAGCCACACUGGAACUGAGACACGGUCCAGACUCCUACGGGAGGCAGCAGUGGGGAAUAUUGCACAAUGGGCGCAAGCCUGAUGCAGCCAUGCCGCGUGUAUAAAGAAGGCCUUCGGGUUGUAAAGUACUUUCAGCGGGGAGGAAGGGAGUAAAGUUAAUACCUUUGCUCAUUGACGUUACCCGCAGAAGAAGCACCGGCUAACUCCGUG
rnacentral:rRNA from 1 species